rnacentral:rRNA from 2 species
CAGUCGAACGAACUCUGGUAUUGAUUGGUGCUUGCAUCAUGAUUUACAUUUGAGUGAGUGGCGAACUGGUGAGUAACACGUGGGAAACCUGCCCAGAAGCGGGGGAUAACACCUGGAAACAGAUGCUAAUACCGCAUAACAACUUGGACCGCAUGGUCCGAGUUUGAAAGAUGGCUUCGGCUAUCACUUUUGGAUGGUCCCGCGGCGUAUUAGCUAGAUGGUGAGGUAACGGCUCACCAUGGCAAUGAUACGUAGCCGACCUGAGAGGGUAAUCGGCCACAUUGGGACUGAGACACGGCCCAAACUCCUACGGGAGGCAGCAGUAGGGAAUCUUCCACAAUGGACGAAAGUCUGAUGGAGCAACGCCGCGUGAGUGAAGAAGGGUUUCGGCUCGUAAAACUCUGUUGUUAAAGAAGAACAUAUCUGAGAGUAACUGUUCAGGUAUUGACGGUAUUUAACCAGAAAGCCACGGCUAACUACGUGCCAGCAGCCGCGGUAAUACGUAGGUGGCAAGCGUUGUCCGGAUUUAUUGGGCGUAAAGCGAGCGCAGGCGGUUUUUUAAGUCUGAUGUGAAAGCCUUCGGCUCAACCGAAGAAGUGCAUCGGAAACUGGGAAACUUGAGUGCAGAAGAGGACAGUGGAACUCCAUGUGUAGCGGUGAAAUGCGUAGAUAUAUGGAAGAACACCAGUGGCGAAGGCGGCUGUCUGGUCUGUAACUGACGCUGAGGCUCGAAAGUAUGGGUAGCAAACAGGAUUAGAUACCCUGGUAGUCCAUACCGUAAACGAUGAAUGCUAAGUGUUGGAGGGUUUCCGCCCUUCAGUGCUGCAGCUAACGCAUUAAGCAUUCCGCCUGGGGAGUACGGCCGCAAGGCUGAAACUCAAAGGAAUUGACGGGGGCCCGCACAAGCGGUGGAGCAUGUGGUUUAAUUCGAAGCUACGCGAAGAACCUUACCAGGUCUUGACAUACUAUGCAAAUCUAAGAGAUUAGACGUUCCCUUCGGGGACAUGGAUACAGGUGGUGCAUGGUUGUCGUCAGCUCGUGUCGUGAGAUGUUGGGUUAAGUCCCGCAACGAGCGCAACCCUUAUUAUCAGUUGCCAGCAUUAAGUUGGGCACUCUGGUGAGACUGCCGGUGACAAACCGGAGGAAGGUGGGGAUGACGUCAAAUCAUCAUGCCCCUUAUGACCUGGGCUACACACGUGCUACAAUGGAUGGUACAACGAGUUGCGAACUCGCGAGAGUAAGCUAAUCUCUUAAAGCCAUUCUCAGUUCGGAUUGUAGGCUGCAACUCGCCUACAUGAAGUCGGAAUCGCUAGUAAUCGCGGAUC